rnacentral:piRNA from 1 species
UAGUCUGAAAAGGAAUCUGGAUGG